rnacentral:rRNA from 1 species
AUCAUGAGUUCACAUGUCCGCAUGAUUAAAGGUAUUUUCCGGUAGACGAUGGGGAUGCGUUCCAUUAGAUAGUAGGCGGGGUAACGGCCCACCUAGUCAACGAUGGAUAGGGGUUCUGAGAGGAAGGUCCCCCACAUUGGAACUGAGACACGGUCCAAACUCCUACGGGAGGCAGCAGUGAGGAAUAUUGGUCAAUGGGCGAUGGCCUGAACCAGCCGAGUAGCGUGAAGGAUGACUGCCCUAUGGGUUGUAAACUUCUUUUAUAAAGGAAUAAAGUCGGGUAUGCAUACCCGUUUGCAUGUACUUUAUGAAUAAGGAUCGGCUAACUCCGUGCCAGCAGCCGCGGUAAUACGGAGGAUCCGAGCGUUAUCCGGAUUUAUUGGGUUUAAAGGGAGCGUAGAUGGAUGUUUAAGUCAGUUGUGAAAGUUUGCGGCUCAACCGUAAAAUUGCAGUUGAUACUGGAUGUCUUGAGUGCAGUUGAGGCAGGCGGAAUUCGUGGUGUAGCGGUGAAAUGCUUAGAUAUCACGAAGAACUCCGAUUG